UAUUAACAUUAACAUGUGAUGUAUAGCAAAUAUACAAAGAACAUAUUCGAAAAUAAAAGACUUUUUUUAUAUAAAAAAUUAUUUGAGUCAUAAUAAGAUGGGGAAAAAGCAAUACGUAACUUAUCUGAUGUCUCUUUAUGUUCUUGCCCUUUUUACGGUUAACUGCAAGAGUAUAAAGGAAACUGCCGUCUUUAAAUGCAUUUAGACCGUUUCCAGCACCCAUACCGUAAGUGCAGGAAUAGACGCGCAAACUAAAAAAAAGUGCGGCUGGCUUGACCGUGUAUUUUCGACGCGCGGUCCACUUGACCGCAGUCUUUUACCGAGGGAGACGAGAGGACCCUGCGUUUGACUGAUGCUGCAUGAGAUCCUGGACCACCGCCACAGAUGGUCCUCAGCUUCACAUCUUCAAGACAGGCCAGAGGAAGGUGAUGCUCUCAACACAAGGGACAAAAUAUUAUAGUGAUGCACAGAAUGAUAUAAAUGUGGAGGAUGUAGAUCAUGUUUUACAUUGUUAAAGACCACAUGCAUUUUAUUUUAUAUGUUAUAUUGUCUUGUGUCACCUGAAAGGAGAAUAAAAACUGUAAAACGCUAAA